rnacentral:rRNA from 1 species
AACGUAGGUGGCGAGCGUUAUUCGGAAUUACUGGGCGUAAAGCGUGUGCAGGCGGUCUAGCAAGUGGUGUAUGAAAGCUCCCGGCUCAACCGGGAAGGGUUAUGCCAGACUGCUAGUCUUGAGUGCGAGAGAGGAGCGUGGAAUUCCGGGUGUAGUGGUGAAAUGCGUAGAGAUCCGGAGGAACCCCAGAGGCGAAGGCGGCGCUCUGGCUCGCAACUGACGCUCAGACACGACAGCAUGGGGAGCGAACGGG